GAAUGUCCUCGCCAUUCUAUUCAAAGAGAAGAGUCAUCCUGGAACAGCCGUGCUGGAACUCUCAGAACUCAGUGUGCUUGAGGGAAUCCAGGCUGGAGUGCAGAGGCAUGAUCUUGGCUCAUGGCAACCUCCACCUCCUGGGUUCAAGCAAUUCUCCUGCCUCAGCCUCCUGAGUAGCUGGGACUAUGAGAUUUUUUUUUAAUUGAAAGAAGCAAGGACAUCAGCUGAGAAGGAGGAUGGAGAAGGAGGUGACAGAAUCUGGAAGAAUAGGAGGUGGCUGAUGCAGUCAUUUAUUAGAGACCCUCUUGAAGACCCCAAGGAGAUACAGAAGUGUUCAAUACACAUUUGAGACUAGAGGACAUGCUAAUGCAAAUGUUGAGUUUGAGAGGACUCAGGAGAAGGAUUUGGAGAGUUGAGAAAGAUCAGACAUCAGAUUAGAUGCCAUACAAUGAAAAGAGUCCACGGCCACACAGGGAUGAGUGUCCAGCUGUUGUUGCCAAGAGCAUUCACCAGUAGACCUGCAUGGAAAUCUCUGCUUCGGGUCUCCUUCCCAUUCUAUGGCAAUUUUAACAGAAGAGGUCCUAAGAGGCAAACCGUUAAAAUGGAAUUUUGGAACUGGAUCAUCAACCAGCCACCUGGCAAUGAGGACAUCAUCCCUCGUAGUAAGUGGAGUACUGAUACCACCUGGCGUGCUGUGGCUGCAAAAGUUAAAACUUUUACCCGUGCAGAAGUUGUGAUGGGAUAUCGGUAGGAAGUAAUGAAAGCAAUAUCUCAGGCAUUUGAGAGGCCUAUCGAAAAUUGUGAUUAUAUGGAGUCAGAUAGUGGUUGCUGGAGGCUAUUGCUGCACUGCAGAAAUAUAAUAAAAGAUGUGAAGGUGAUUAAUUACCAAUGUAAGAUGAUCUGUGAACAUCACGGGACUUCCUUGGCAGCAUAUGAAGAAGCUCAUCUCCUGUAGUCACAGGGGAGAAAAAGCAGAGGAUCAGGCCAGGGACUUCAUUAUAAGGAAAGUGGAGUUCUGCAAAAGGCUGAAUUUUCAUGGGUUUCAGCACCAUUCUCCAAGGACUUAGAAUCUGAAUCAGUGGUACAAGACCUCACAUAAUAUUGCAUCAGGGAAAAGGACAUACUUUGGAACAAAAGGACAAAAGAGAAGAGGAAAGACCAGAAGAGGAAAGGCUUGCCACACUAACCUAAGUUCCCUGUGCUGGUUUGAAGUACUCAGUUCCCUUACCAAUUUCCAACUGUCUUUUUCCUACAACUUUAAUGUUUGUUGAGUGUAUGUAUGAUUCAUAAGAUUUCUGAUCAAUACUAUGUGUGUGACAUUGAAAGGAGUCAAAAUGAAUGUAUGACUUAGCUGCAUUUAUCAUUUAUUAAUUGAUGACACAUUUAUCCAAUGAUAAAAGCAUUUGAGAAUCUCAA
ensembl:lncRNA EHHADH-AS1 EHHADH antisense RNA 1